AUUCUCAGAUCAAAUAUUAAUCAGAGGGUUUAUUUCAGCUUCUGAGUUCAUGACACAUGCUGAAUAAUAAGGAUUAGAUUAAGAGAAGAAGGUGGAUGAUGGCAACAGAACAAUAGACCAAGGUUGUAACUGAAGAAUAAACAGGAAGGGAAUGAUGCUGCUACUGUUGCAAAGGAGAAACACUCAGCAAAGGAAAAAAAUCAUAAAAGGAAAAAGGGCUUUUCCAUGGGAGAUGUAUGAUGGAGACCAUAGUAAUAGAAGAUUUAAGGAAGAUUUUGGUUUCAUCUAUUAUAAGGCAGUGUUACAAGUAAGGUAUAUACUCUCUUUUUACAAUCUUGAUGUUGUGUUCCUGAGGAGUGAGGAAGAAUACCACUGAUAUGUAUCAACCUGAAUAGAAGUAACUGCACAACACUUAAAAACUAAUAUUAGAAGAAGUUUGAGGUGUAGAAGCUUAGAUAAAGUGAUUUGCUGAUUCUAAUGGAUUUGAUUAGAACUCUAGAUUGUGUUUAUGGUAAAAAAGAAAAGACAGGGUAUUUUUGAAUCUUUACAUUCCCACUACUUUCUUUCCACCCCAUGUGACAGUUACAACCUUUUACUUCCAAUUUCCAAACAGCUGCACCGGUUAAAAUGCACCCCUUCAUAUUCUAGCUGCUUAUUUCCAAGAAAUUUUGUUUCAAAAUUCAAAUUUAAUUGCAAUUUUUUCCUUUCUUGCCUGUCAAACAGUCCCAUUAUAAAAAUUCAAAUUAACAAAAAUCCUUUUGUUUUUGCUUCUUCUAUCUGCACAGCUCCUCUUUACAUGGCUGUUUUUGCAUACUUAAGAAAUUGCCCUUUCUAGCUGCAUAUUGCAGCUUAUCUUUUGCAGCCUAUAUUGAGCAAUAGUAUAAAUGAAAUUAUAUACAGCUAAAAAGUAGAAAGUUGAAUGUCUUGCAAGAAUGUAUAGUUGAUAAAUACUAAAGGUAUCUUGGCUGAUAUAUUUAUCCAUGUCAGAACAGUUUUGGGGAAUUAGAAGGUAUCUUGGCUGAUAUAUUUAUCCAUGUCAACGAGAAGUAAUAUUUUUUCCUUGAUUUGUUCCCUGUUGGGUUUUUAUGAAUUUUAUGUUUUGGUUUUCAUUUCAAGCUAUUACCAUUCUUACUCUUAUUUAUUUAU